CAAAACCCAAACCGAGAGGAAAACGGAGGAAGAACGCAUGUACCUUGCUCAAAGGAAGAUGUUCACCGAAACUUGCCAUUUCGAACACCGAGAACGAAAACCAAGAGCGAGAACGAUAACGAAAAUGGAGAAAGAGAGAGAAGGAAAAACACAGAGGGAGAAGGAAAACAGAGAGAACCAAAACGAAGAGGGAGAAGGAAAACGAAGAGAGAGAACCUUCAUUUCUAAUGAAACAAGGCAAAGGUAAACUUGGAAUUCCAACUUUCUGAAACCCUCUUCAUUUUCAAAGACAAAUUCUAUCAAUAAAACUAAAAUAAAAAUGGACCAAUGAAAUGCUAACUACUGGCAUUGCCAAAGUUUAUUAAAAAAGGAUUGUCAAAAUAACGGGUUUCAUAUAUAUAUAUAUAUAUA
rnacentral:lncRNA from 1 species